rnacentral:rRNA from 1 species
AGCGAACGCUGGCGGCAGGCCUAACACAUGCAAGUCGAACGAACUCUUCGGAGUUAGUGGCGGACGGGUGAGUAACACGUGGGAACGUGCCUUUUGGUUCGGAAUAACUCAGGGAAACUUGUGCUAAUACCGAAUGUGCCCUUCGGGGGAAAGAUUUAUCGCCAUUAGAGCGGCCCGCGUCUGAUUAGCUAGUUGGUGAGGUAACGGCUCACCAAGGCGACGAUCAGUAGCUGGUCUGAGAGGAUGACCAGCCACACUGGGACUGGGACACGGCCCAGACUCCUACGGGAGGCAGCAGUGGGGAAUCUUGCGCAAUGGGCGAAAGGCUGACGCAGCCAUGCCGCGUGAAUGAUGAAGGUCUUAGGAUUGUAAAAUUCUUUCACCGGGGACGAUAAUGACGGUACCCGGAGAAGAAGCCCCGGCUAACUUCGUG